CGUAAACAAACCGCCUUAAGGAUGGGGAUAACAGACGGAAACGACUGCUAAUACCGAAUACGUUCUAAGCAUCGCAUGGUGCAUAGAAGAAAGGGUGGCCUCUACAAGAAAGCUAUCGCCUUAAGAGGGGUUUGCGACUGAUUAGGUAGUUGGUGAGGUAACGGCUCACCAAGCCGACGAUCAGUAGCCGGUCUGAGAGGAUGAACGGCCACACUGGAACUGAGACACGGUCCAG
rnacentral:rRNA from 1 species